rnacentral:misc_RNA from 1 species
AGUAUUGUUGUUAUGAUUUGUAUUAUAAUUUAAUAUAUUGUAAAAUGUAUCGUUAUCGCUUUAAUUUAGAAAUAUUUUUAAAUACUAAAUACUUAAUAAAUUUGAUGAUUUUAUAUAUUGAUGGCAAGCUAUCAAGACUAUAAAAAAAUUGGUAAAUAGCGUUGUGAGGGAAUUCUAUUGAAAUGAUAUUUUCUCAUAUAGAGAGUCUACUAUGUCAUUUG